rnacentral:rRNA from 1 species
CCUACGGGUGGCUGCAGUGGGGAAUAUUGGACAAUGGGCGAAAGCCUGAUCCAGCCAUGCCGCGUGUGUGAAGAAGGCCUUCGGGUUGUAAAGCACUUUCAGUGGGGAAGAAAGCCUUGGGGCUAAUACCCUCGAGGAAGGACAUCACCCACAGAAGAAGCACCGGCUAACUCCGUGCCAGCAGCCGCGGUAAUACGGAGGGUGCGAGUGUUAAUCGGAAUUACUGGGCGUAAAGCGCGCGUAGGCGGUCUGAUAAGCCGGUUGUGAAAGCCCCGGGCUCAACCUGGGAACGGCAUCCGGAACUGUCAGGCUAGAGUGCAGGAGAGGAAGGUAGAAUUCCCGGUGUAGCGGUGAAAUGCGUAGAGAUCGGGAGGAAUACCAGUGGCGAAGGCGGCCUUCUGGACUGACACUGACGCUGAGGUGCGAAAGCGUGGGUAGCAAACAGGAUUAGAUACCCGGGUAGUC